GCUGCUGGGUAGUAUUAUCACUGCUCACAUAGGCUGCUGGCUGGUUUUAUAUCACUGCUCACAUAGGCUGCUGGCUGUUUAUAUCUCACCACACACACAGGCUGCUGGGUAGUAUUAUCACUGCUCACAUAGGCUGCUGGGUAUUAUUAUCACUGGUCACAUAGGCUGCUGGGUAGUAUUAUCACUGGUCACAUAUGCUGCUGGGUGGUUUUAUAUCACUGGUCACAUAGGCUGCUGGGUGGUAUUAUCACUGGUCACACAGGCUGCUGGGUGGUUUUAUAUCACUGGUCACAUAGGCUGCUGGGUAGUAUUAUCACUGGUCACAUAGGCUGCUGGCUGGUUUUAUAUCACUGGUCACAUAGGCUGCUGGGUGGUAUUAUCCCUGGUCACAUAGGCUGCUGGCUGGUAUUAUCACUGGUCACAUAGGCUGCUGGGUAGUAUUAUCACUGGUCACAUAGGCUGCUGGGUAGCAUUAUCACUGGUCACACAGGCUGCUGGGUGGUUUUAUAUCACUGGUCACAUACACUGGAACUCCUCUUGCUUUUGCUUCACUCACUCCUCCUGAGGUUUUCUCUGUUCGUGGCUAGAUCUAUCUGCUCAAUCAGUAAAAUGCCAACAUGAUGACCAUCAAGACAAUCAUGCCUGUCUUCAAAACACACUCAGAGAGUGCUAUUUCCACUAUUCCUGUCUUGCAAGUAGACUAGUUAGGACUCAAAGAAUUUGGGAAAAACAGCCACACAAGACUUGGACACUGAUCGGUUUGCCGCCAUUUCCCACAAUGAACGUUUUUUUGUAAGCAGACUCUAGCAGUCCAGGAUGGAAAAAUCUGUCAACAUCUUUUAGGAGCCGUAUUCUAUCUGAAUACGUGAGAGUGGUUUCAAAUCUUUUACUGUAGUGUCUGUAUUCUGCCUCAUGACCACUGCCUGGAGAAGACAAGUGAUCCAAUGAUGAUGAGUGUUUCCAAUGACGUCUUUGAGGCCUUCAAAGACCUCAAGGCAUGUAUUGAAUCAUUAAAAAAGGAAUUAUGAAAGUUUUCAUGUUAACUUCAUGGUAAUUAUACUGCUGACCAUAAUGCUGCCUAUUCUUUGACAUUUACCUAUUUGCCAAAGUCUAUAGCAUUGUUUCAUAAAACCCUUAUAAUAAAUCCUUGAGGUAAGUUUUAUCA
rnacentral:lncRNA from 1 species